AUUGAACGCUGGCGGCAUGCCUUACACAUGCAAGUCGAACGGUAACGGGUCUUCGGGUGCCGACGAGUGGCGAACGGGUGAGUAAUACAUCGGAACGUGCCCGAUCGUGGGGGAUAACGAGGCGAAAGCUUUGCUAAUACCGCAUACGAUCUACGGAUGAAAGCAGGGGACCGCAAGGCCUUGCGCGGACGGAGCGGCCGAUGGCAGAUUAGGUAGUUGGUGGGAUAAAAGCUUACCAAGCCGACGAUCUGUAGCUGGUCUGAGAGGAUGAUCAGCCACACUGGGACUGAGACACGGCCCAGACUCCUACGGGAGGCAGCAGUGGGGAAUUUUGGACAAUGGGCGCAAGCCUGAUCCAGCCAUGCCGCGUGCAGGAUGAAGGCCUUCGGGUUGUAAACUGCUUUUGUACGGAACGAAAAGCCUUCUUUUAAUACAGGAGGGUCAUGACGGUACCGUAAGAAUAAGCACCGGCUAACUACGUG
rnacentral:rRNA from 1 species